rnacentral:misc_RNA from 1 species
UUUUUUUUUUUUUUUUUGGCUUAUGGGUGUUAGCUUUCGGUGGAAAACUGUCGUUUCAAGAUCGUUUCUCUGGAUAACUUCUAUUUGCUUUUGGGUUUGUGUAUAUAAUUUUUGUUGACAGAAGGAAAUGCCAGAUUUUGGGUUCGAUCAUUGAUUAAUUGUGCAGGCGCAGCUAUUGCAAUUAUCAUAGUAUAAUUUGGGUGUCGUAGAGAAUUUAUUGUCAAUCUAACAAAAUUGAAGAUUAGCUCUGAACUGCCUUUUGAAUUUGCCACUAGCGUUAAAAUCCACGUUCUGUUGUCUGAAACUUUGGUUGCCCAAUUGAAAUUUUGGCCGACAUAAUAGCAGUUCGUUGAUAGUUUCUCGUGAGAUGUUGUUAUGAACUUUCGAGAAUUGAUUUACGUUUGGGGAAGGGUGGGUUUCUGUUAUGCUUUUUUUGUUGCGUGUAUCUGGACUCUGGUCUAACAAAUUAAUAAUUGAGGGUUGUACCUUUUUUCAGGAUAAGGAAGGGAUCCCUC